GAUUAUCUAUCUUUAAGGUAAAGUGUAUGUUUUGAAAGCAUAUUAAAAGAGUUCGAUUCUCUUGAUAAUCU
rnacentral:tRNA from 1 species